rnacentral:lncRNA from 1 species
CUCAAGGUGCAAGGGAGUCCGGCAAGAAGUGUGGCGCACCCGAGUUGCUGCCACUGCUUUUUGGAUCACCCAGCACGGUCUUCUGAAGUCUUCCUGAAAGCAUCCCUGGUGAUCUGUGAGCCCUUGGUCGUGUUGCCCGCCUUCUUCCUGUGGGUCUUGCUGGAUGCUCAUUGUCCCUGUGAGCCGAGGCCCUGGAGGCUUCAGAUUUAGGUGAAGUUGCCACGUAUGACUGUCCAUCAGCCAGGAGAUGAACCCCCACCCGUGAGGCAGUGACUCAAGGUGCAAGGGAGUCCGGCAAGAAGUGUGGCGCACCCGAGUUGCUGCCACUGCUUUUUGGAUCACCCAGCACGGUACGGCUUCUCCUGCCCCAAGACGUGUUGUGAAUUUCAGGUUUCCUGGGACUGCCUGAGUGGUUGUACGUAUACAGGGACCGU